ACCAGGGCCGGAUUACAGCUGGCAACUAAAGAUGAAAGACUCCCAAUAUUCCAUUUCCAGCACCCUGAGUCCAUCCCAGCCCUCCUUCUCCUCAAUCACUCUUUCGUGUGCACUGGUGUGCCUGUCUGAGUUAAAAGUGCAGCUGGAAAGGUUGUUGCUUCUCUGCUUUUAGAUGCUUUUUCCCUUUUAUGCUUUAGCAAAGAAAAUAGAUUGCUUCAAAGGGACAGGAAGAAAACUGUGUAUCACCUAGGGUAAAUAUUGAGUGUGAGGUGCUGCUAAUUAGCCACACAAAGUCCAUUAGCAUUAAUGGGAUCUGUCUGUGUGGUUAAUUCCCUCUGCAGUGCUCAGGCUGAAUAUUUAGCCCUUUGUCCUUACUGAGGACAGGUGCAUUUUGUAUUCUUGUUUAUAGCAAGUCUAAUCUAGCUCUCUGUCACUGUAGUAUUUCUACAGAGAAUUUUGAAAGAGUGCUUCAGACCCAAACCAGUGUGAGAGUCUCUAUCCCACAAAGCAUCAUGCACCCAGUUUAUCUCAUGGUUACAUGGGAAAUGCAACCCUAGGGGAGGCAAUGGAAGAGAAGAUAGAUUAGUCCUUCAUAAAACUCUCUUUCUCCAUGACAUACUGCCCACUUCCCAGUCCUGGGUUCUAUCCCCUCUCCCCCUCAUGCAGCUGCAGCUGAUGACUUUCUGAGCACCUCAGGCAGUGCAAGGAGCAUAGGAAAAGUGACAAGGAAGAAAGGUUCCCUCCUGCUUAGGAGGUAACACACAGAACCCGCUUGCCAUCCAAAUGUCACAGGCCUAUGAGAGGCAGGGGACUCCCUAAUGACAGCGCUGACAAAGACACAGAUGUUGGAGAAGUGUCGGUGCUGUGUCGGAAUGGGGAACAAGCAUCGUCAAGUUCUCAACAACCCCUGUGGCGCUGGUGUUAGCAACUGCUUUUCCUGGAAGGCCUGGGAGACCGGCAGAAUUUGAGCAGGACGGUGCACUAGGAGGGAAUAGGAGAGGACAGCAUGACCGACCCUGGGUCUCCAAUUUCCUCAUGGACCUGAUGAGGUUACUGUGGCUAUAGAUGACUCUGAGACAAGCAAAUUCAUCUGUAAAAGGUUCUUUCAGAGAGAGAGUGAUUGACACACAAGCUGAACUCUGAAAGAGAGAGAAAAUAGAUCCGUGGUCUUUGACUUCAAUGCAAAAAGAUUAGGGCUCUUUGUGCUUCAGCAGAAUAAAUGGAAGAUGUCACACCGCUCCAUGCAGUGGAAAGCAAGAAGAGAUCCUCACAACCAUGAUGCAAAUCACUUACAGUUGCUCCCAACAGACUUUCCAAAGGAGGCCAGUGUCGUUAUGCCCGUUUUACAGAUGGAGAAACUGAGGCACAGAGAGGGGAAGUGAUUUGCUCAAGAUCACCCAGAGCUGGGAAUCGGACUCAGUUCUUCCGAGGCCCAGUCUUGGGCUCGAGCCACUAGACAACUAAUGGACACCAAAACAUUCUCAGCAAGCUGCCCAGGACAAGACUCAAACUUGCAGUAUAUGGGACCUGUUUGGAUUCAAGGGUCACAGCAGAUCACUUUGAGAAGCAGAGGAUGGCUGAGUUUGCAGGUGUCCAGUUGAUCUACACAUGCUCAGCGGAGAGCGGUCAUGUUAGAAUGAUGGUACCAGCGCAUGCAGCCAACUGGAAGAGAGCAAUACUGGGAUAGCAAGAGCAGAACAGUUGGAUCCUUGUGCUGGGGGUAAAGUUCGCCAAACCUGAAGACGUUCUUAGCUUGGAGCAAAAGAGCUUGGAUUAAAGAUAGAUCCUGCAGGUCCUGGGUCCACUGGAGACAAGGGGGGAAACUCGUCUAGUGAGGUGGCUGGAGGGCCGAGGUAUGAAGAAGCUCCAGAGUCCCCACAGAGCAAGACCAGCAGUAGGUGUACAGUAAACAGAAGAAAGUGGCCUGGAAAAAACUACUCCCCAGAGCAGCCAGGAGGCGGUAUCCCUAGCGUGCCAAGGCCUGAAGUUCACCAGCGAGGUCUCCAUCCAAACUGGAGGCACUGCUUUCGCUCAGAGGCCUGUCCGGACCAGGCUCUAGAUCUGCCACGCUGGCUGGCAUGUGGCUGUGAAACUGGCAGUGGAAAGUGGAAGUCACGGAGGAAAGGCCAGAACUGUACCGACGUCGGGAUCCCGGCUGUGGGUCGACUCUGGAUGCCACAAUCUGCGCUGGAGUCAUGCCGAAGGCACACGCAACAGAUGGUGCUAUGAAGUGGAUCAGAAGGCACGGAGCAGCAGUCAUUAAUCUUCAUUCCCGCAAACUAGUCCGGACCCAGGAGUAUGUAAGGAGCCGGGGCCAGGGAGCAGAGCUGGCUUCCCAGCAGCUACUGAGCAUGUGGCCAAGUCCAAAGAUUCCACGUGAGAGAAAAAGAGGAAAGAGCGAGCGGUUUUAUAACGGCAAUGCGAUUCACAUUCCUACAUAUGGCGAUGAUGGCUGGCACCAAAGAUACUCCUGUGAGCAGGAGCUGGCUCUGCCUGAUAGCAGGUGUUUCUGGCUUCUCCAGAGCAUCAGCUUGCAACCAACCCCUUUGAGUAGCUCAGGUGAACUUACUAUCUCUUCCCCCAGUCCAAGGAACCAAAAAUGGGGGCUUGUCUGCCCAAUUGUGGCUGGGCCUCUAGGGGUCUCAUCCAACCCACAGAGAAACUGAUAGGAUCCUUGUCUUGGCUGUCAUGUGCGCUGGAUUAGGUCCCUACAGCGUAACAAGAAGGUUAUUGUGCAUCAAAAAUUAGCUGUACAGGAUAAACCAGCAAACAUGGGAGAAGGACAUCCCCACUUCCACCAGUUCUCACCGCUUUGAAAACAGCCCAGGCCACUGGGGCAAAGUGAAAAACAG